rfam:Ornithorhynchus anatinus chromosome 2, whole genome shotgun sequence.
CCCCUCUCAGGGUCACCCCUGGAGAGAUUCCAGUACUCUACCUGCUUCGACUACCGGAGGGAGAAGCAGAGGCAUACCCAUUCCAUUCCUAGGUUGGACAGAAGCUAGUGAAUGGAAGACAGUCUGCUACAAGU